rnacentral:sRNA from 1 species
CACCGGAUCGUUGCGCCGCGGCAGGCGACGGC